AAACCUUGCUUCCCUUUUGGAGGUGAUGGGACAUUUGACUUCUUGACCGGCUUCACAGGUGGUUGCGUCUCUCCAGAGACAUCAAACUAGCACAAAUUCCAAAAUGAAGCAGACACAGGCUUUGGAGCCACGAAGCCACAAAGUGGAGACCAAACCACCUUUUAUUAUGAGGAAUUCACAUAGUGUCGCUGGCUUUCAGUUUUCUUCAUUAACACAAUGAGGUUUCAAGGCUUCCUUUGAAGAGCGGUUGCUGACUAAGCGGAUCAGUUAUGUGAACCGUGGACAAGUCAAGGAUGAGACCUACCCGAGGCACAGGAGGUUCAUGGCUGAUGGGCUCCGCUCACCCUGGUGGACAAUGACAGCUCCUAGACAGAGCAGACGUGUGGACAAGGAGCAUGGAUGAUCGAUCACCUAGCCCAUUGCUGGCUGGCAUGAGCACCAUUUUCUCUGAUGCUUUCCCUCCUACUGGAGACUUCUAGGAAUAUAUAGAUUCGCUCUCAGCAUUUUCCUCGAAUUAGAUCCACAUAUUACCACGCUAGCAAAUAUUCCUUCAGUGAUUGGGGACCCUAUGAGUUCUAAACUUCUUAAAGAUAUAUUUUCUUCUUCUUUUUUUGUAGGUUUUGGGAAAUAAAGUUGAAGUAGAAAUGAAGGAAAAUGUUAUUUUUCGGAUGCUUUUUUUAUUAGUACACAGUCAUUACGCAUAACAAUGGGCUCCAUUAUGACCCAUAAUAUUAUGCUUAGUAGAAAAUUCCCGCACUGAGUUACCUAUUCGUCUGCGACUACGCUGGCGAGAGAUAAAUAUAUACGCUUCUUGGGCUGGCCUGGGCUUAUGCACCUCCUGCCUCUGGAAUGCCGGGAUGAUACGCACCAACAUACUAGCCUCAGAUUAAUCUUCUGUCUGUGUUUCCCUCUCCCAUAAGCUAUCAGUGCGCCCCUGUGCUCGGUGCUUGUCCACCACAGACGUGCAGCAGGUAUUUGUUUAUUCCAGACUGAAGUUGCUACAGGCGGCACCUACGUAAUUUGCUUAUCUAGUAAAUACACUAAAACCACACCAAGACCAGGGCAACUGAUUGCAACUCGGUGAUGUCGGUUGAAAGGAAUAUCAGGGAUCCCAGCUUGACCCGAAGCAGGGCUCCAUAGUGACUGCAGCCUGUGAGCGUGUGUCCUGCAGCACAACUCAUCUUUCAGCAGGUAUGAUUUUGUGGGCAGAAAACCUUGCCACAGGGGGCUGGAGAGAUGGCUCAACAGUCGAGAGCACCGGUUGCUCUCCCAGAGUACCCGGGGUUCAAUUCCCAGCACCCACAUGGCAGUUCAUAGUUGUCUGUAACUCCAGUCUGGGGGA